UAGCAUAUCAAUAAGCGGAGGAAAAGAAACCAACAGGGAUUGCCCUAGUAACGGCGAGUGAAGCGGCAACAGCUCAAAUUUGAAAUCUGGCGCAAGCCCGAGUUGUAAUUUGUAGAGGAUGUUUCUGGCGACGUGCCUUCCGAGUUCCCUGGAACGGGACGCCAUAGAGGGUGAGAGCCCCGUACGGUUGGAUGCCUAGCCUCUGUGAAACUCCUUCGACGAGUCGAGUAGUUUGGGAAUGCUGCUCUAAAUGGGAGGUAUACGUCUUCUAAAGCUAAAUACCGGCCAGAGACCGAUAGCGCACAAGUAGAGUGAUCGAAAGAUGAAAAGCACUUUGAAAAGAGGGUUAAAAAGUACGUGAAAUUGUUGAAAGGGAAGCGUUCAUGACCAGACUUGGGCAGGUUGAUCAUCCGUGGUUCUCCGCGGUGCACUCUGCCUGCCCAGGCCAGCAUCAGUUCGCCCCGGGGGAUAAAGGCUUUUGGGAAUGUGGCUCCCUCGGGAGUGUUAUAGCCCACUGUGUAAUACCCUGGGGUGGACUGAGGUUCGCGCUCUGCAAGGAUGCUGGCGUAAUGGUCAUCAACGACCCGUCUUGAAACACGGACCAAGGAGUCGUCUUCGUAUGCGAGUGUUCGGGUGUCAAACCCCUACGCGUAAUGAAAGUGAACGUAGGAGAGAGCUUCGGCGCAUCUCCGACCGAUCCUGAUGUUCUCGGAUGGAUUUGAGUAAGAGCAUACGGGGCCGGACCCGAAAGAAGGUGAACUAUGCCUGUAUAGGGUGAAGCCAGAGGAAACUCUGGUGGAGGCUCGCAGCGGUUCUGACGUGCAAAUCGAUCGUCAAAUAUGGGCAUGGGGGCGAAAGACUAAUCGAACCUUCUAGUAGCUGGUUUCCGCGA
rnacentral:rRNA from 1 species